CUCAGAGCUAGUCGCGAUAGAAUCCGGACGCCGCCGGUUGUGGUAUAUCCGUUCGUGGUUAAACAGAAGCGCGUUGAGUGUGAACUUUUUGUGAACUAUACAUUACCUGUUUAAAUUAUCAGUAGUGAUAUUGGAAAGGGAUGUUUAAAUUUUAGUUUCAAUGAGAACAAAUUUGUGCCGAUUGGACCAUAGUUGUUUCCAUAAAUACACAUAUAGAACAUCAGAUCAUCAGUGAUGCAAUUUCCAGCUUAAAACGAAGUAACAUAUACUAUCGCUUGCGUAAUGAGUGAGAAGUUGCCAUACGAUAAUCAAGUGUGGAUUUUUAAUACGUGCGCCAAGUGCCAGUUGUUGUGUUGUAAAAUCGCUGCACCAUUGCUUCAAGUGGACUGACCCGGAUGACGCUGGGCGGAUUAAUGUGUGGAUUCAAUUCGACGGAACUUUUAUCG